rnacentral:rRNA from 1 species
UUAAAUUGUAAUUUAUUUAUUUGAGUAGUAAUAGUUAUGAUCUUAAAACUUAAAAAAUUUGGCGGUAUUUUAGUCUAUUCAGAGGAACCUGUUUUGUAAUCGAUAGUCCACGAUGAACCUUUCUUAAAUUUGUUUUUCAGUUUAUAUAUCGUCGUUAAUAGAAUAUUUUAUAAGAAAAAUAAUUUUCUAUAAUUUUUAUAAAAAUUUAUAUCAGAUCAAGGUGUAGCUUAUAUUUAAGUUAAAAUGGGUUACAAUAAAAUUAUUUAAAUGGAUGUAAGUAUGAAAAAUUUAUUUAAAGUGAAUUUGAAAGUAAAAU